CUCUUGACAUCCAGAGAAUCCAGCGGAGACGCAGGAGUGCCUUCGGGAGCUCUGAGACAGGUGCUGCAUGGCUGUCGUCAGCUCGUGUUGUGAAAUGUUGGGUUAAGUCCCGCAACGAGCGCAACCCUUAUCCUUGUUUGCCAGCGAGUCAUGUCGGGAACUCCAGGGAGACUGCCGGUGAUAAACCGGAGGAAGGUGGGGACGACGUCAAGUCAUCAUGGCCCUUACGAGUAGGGCUACACACGUGCUACAAUGGCGCAUACAGAGGGCAGCGAGCCAGCGAUGGUAAGCGAAUCCCAAAAAGUGCGUCGUAGUCCGGAUUGGAGUCUGCAACUCGACUCCAUGAAGUCGGAAUCGCUAGUAAUCGUGAAUCAGAAUGUCACGGUGAAUACGUUCCCGGGCCUUGUACACACCGCCCGUCACACCAUGGGAGUGGGCUGCAAAAGAAGUAGG
rnacentral:rRNA from 1 species